rnacentral:rRNA from 1 species
UACGUAGGGUGCAGGCGUUAAUCGGAAUUACUGGGCGUAAAGCGUGCGCAGGCGGUUUGUUAAGACAGAUGUGAAAAUCCCCGGGCUUAACCUGGGAACUGCGUUUGUAACUGGCAGACUGGAGUGUGGCAGAGGGGGGUGGAAUUCCACGUGUAGCAGUGAAAUGCGUAGAGAUGUGGAGGAACACCGAUGGCGAAGGCGGCCCCUGGAUCAAUACUGACGCUGAGGUGCGAAAGCGUGGGGA